rnacentral:tRNA from 1 species
GCGCCUGUAGCUCAGGUGGAUAGAGCAACGGCCUUCUAAGCCGUGGGUCGCGGGUUCGAAUCCUGCCGGGCGCGCCA